UUAAAUAAUGAUAGUGUAGUAGUCUGUACGAGCAGAAGUUUCCUGUCGUCUUCUUUGCAUUGUGUUGUCAUGCUUCAGUGAUGUGUGAGUGUUUAUAGUGCUGUGAGUUUAACACUUCAUGACUGAGAUCAGAACAGAACAGAAUCUUCAUCAUCACACAAACCAAAAGAACAACAAUGACUUUCAUCAUCAUCUUCAUCUGGACACUGACUUUCUACAUUCAGGAGAGCUGUGGUCAAGUGACAGUGACUCAAACACCACAAAUAACAUCCAUUACACAAGGAGGAACCGUUGAAAUCAGCUGUAAAACAAGUCAGCCAAUUUCAGGCUGUAAUGAUUGUGUUUCAUGGUAUCAUCAGAAACCUGGAGAAGCUCCUAAACUCCUCAUUUAUUACAUCAGGAGACUUCAGUCAGGAACUCCAUCGAGAUUCAGUGGCAGCGGAUCAGACUAUGGAAGUGAUUUCACUUUGACCAUCAGUGGAGUUCAGACUGAAGAUUCAGGAGAUUAUUACUGUCUGAGUUUACACAAUCCUGGUAGUAGCUAUGUGUUGACACAGUAAUAAAGAGCGAUACAAAAACCUCUGACAGUCAGACUGCACAGUGACUGAACUCAUACACCUGUGAUAACACACAACACUGAUCACACAAAUAACACAAAAUCAUCUUAUGAUCAAGAGAAAUCAUGCUAAGGGUUAUACAGGUAUGUAUUUAUGAUCAAAUAAACACAGAUUAUUUUAACAUCUAUCUGUUCAUACUGCCUUUUCAUCAAACUAUAUGCAGACUCCUCAUCUUCAAAUGAGAAUAAAAGAGAGGAAAUUAUUUUUUUUUACAAAAUGUGUUUAUUCCAAUGGAAAGAAAAUCUUUAUACUUUGAAAUGAAUUGGCUAGCACAAUCCAUUAGGAGAAUGUAAAAUGUUUAUGAGAAUUAUAAAAUUAUAUGUAAAUAACUUCAUAACUGACUAAUGCCUUCAUUUAAGAGAAGUGAAACAAACAGUGACACUGAGAGUGUGAAGUGAAAAUCACAUUUACAUUGUCAGGAUGAAGAGACUCAGAAUAGAUCAACUUUGUCUUCAGGGAUCAUCUUCACAUCACAAGAGAUGGAUUUUACAUUUACUGCAUCGCCAUUUCAUGAUGCAUUACUGUCAGGCCAUUUGUAUUGCAGCACAGACAUAAACCACGACCCCUUAAUAUGCCUCACCGAAUUAAACCUGCUCAUUGGUUUAGGGGUGAAACCUUGAGGCCCUGGGCCGGUUGCAUAAAGCACCUUAAGUGUAAUUUUCUCUUGUAUCAAAAAACUUUUUCCCAAUUUGUCUUUAUAUACCAAUACAUAAGUAAAAUGUAAGUACUCUGAAAAAGAGAGUAUAGAUCUCAAGUGUCUGUAGACCUCUCACGACUGUGUUAAACACAGCUCAUUAUUUCCAUUCGGGACGAAACAAUUAUCUCGCAAACCAUGACCAUACCACCCUUGUUGCUACAUUGUAGGUGUAUGUCGUGCAUGUGCCUACAGGAGAAUGUACAGUGGCGGCUGGUCACUAGGGGGCGCUGCCCCCUUAAAGCUGGCCAGAGAGGAAAGCUACUUUAACAUGUUACCAAAAAGUUAAAUAUAUAGUGCAAAUUAAUACCAAAUAAAUUCAUUUAGUUGUACUAUUUCACUGUUAGUCAUGUUAUAAUUUAUUUAAAACAAUUAAAAAUCAAAACUGAGUUGUGUGUGUGUCAUGUUUGUGUGUCUGGGGCGCACCCCUAAUGAGUGUCUAUGUAGGUCAGGAAAAAGGGUAAAAACAUGUGACCUGAGGCUGAGCUCUAAGUGGCUGGUUUCGGAUCCGCCCUCGGGCGCAGGACUGUGCGCCCCAAACACUCCCACUUAUGUUGAAAGCGAAUCAAUAUUGCUUUUAAUGUUUUUUACCUCCUGUGAUUGGAUGGUUCGAAGAGUCUCAUAACCGCGUUGGAGAUUGCUGUGUUAACUGAUAGCUACAGUACAGAUCGGUGAAAGCAAGUGAAAUAUCUUGAGAUGAAGGAAAAUAUGCUUUUAUCCUUACAAAAUCACCCUAUACAAGGUAUUUAAUUGAUGAAUAAAUAAAGGAUUAAGAAGCUUGGACCAGAUCGACCAACAGAGUCAAUUGAUGGCAGUCUGUGUUCUCCACCACUUCUCAUGGCAAACGGAGUUGGCUAGCUGGAUAUCAUGUAAGUCUUUUUGAGUUUUAUUUUUUCCCUGUUUGCUGUUUUAAAGUCUGAAUGCGUGAUAGACGUGCACGACAUGAACUUUUGUGGCACGUUUGAGCUUGUGUUGCGUGGACAUAAUGAGAGCGAGUGCUGCUCAUAUAAUCCGGUAUAUUACGUGACUUGGUCAACUUUGUUGUUAGUUUUGUUGUUGUAGAGUUUAAAAAGCACCCACGAGAAAACCACUGUUUUUAAGGAAACUUCAUGAACCGUGCAUAUUGAGCUGAUGGACUGUAUGUAACAGUUACUUAGUCUGGUGUGAGGGGAAAAUUUGCUUGUGCUAUUGCUAUAAAAGC